AUUGAACGCUGGCGGCAUGCCUAACACAUGCAAGUCGAACGGCAGCACGGCAGUAGCAAUACUGUGGGUGGCGAGUGGCGGACGGGUGAGGAAUACGUCGGAAUCUGCCCAGUCGUGGGGGAUAACUAGCCGAAAGGUUAGCUAAUACCGCAUACGACCGAGAGGUGAAAGCGGGGGACCGCAAGGCCUCGCGCGAUUGGAUGAGCCGACGUCGGAUUAGCUAGUUGGUGGGUAAAGGCCCACCAAGGCGACGAUCCGUAGCUGGUCUGAGAGGAUGAUCAGCCACACUGGAACUGAGACACGGUCCAGACUCCUACGGGAGGCAGCAGUGGGGAAUAUUGGACAAUGGGCGCAAGCCUGAUCCAGCAAUGCCGUGUGUGUGAAGAAGGCCUCGGUUGUAAGGCACUUAUCUAGACGAAAGACG
rnacentral:rRNA from 1 species